rnacentral:tRNA from 2 species
GCCCGGGUGGUGAAAUUGGUAGACGCAGGGGACUCAAAAUCCCCCGCCGCGAGGCGUGCCGGUUCGAGUCCGGCCCCGGGCA